rnacentral:lncRNA from 1 species
UAGAAUAUAAGUUUUAUAUUCAAAUCUAGAUAUUACAAGGCAUGCCUAGAAGAAUAUGCUUGUCAACUGCAAGUUACUGAGAAAAUAAGCAAAAUUUGCACGAGAUUUAGUGCAUAUUAGGUAAGCUUAAAUGUCAAACAUACAUUUUAUCAACCAAUUUUGUAUGACCCACUACUACCCACAUAAUAACUCAUUUCAUAGAACCCAUAACUUAUAAUCACCCCCCAAGCGUGUUCUAUGAACUUUAGAUGAUGAUGUCAAACAUACAUUUUAUCAACCAAUUUUGUAUGACCCACUACUACCCACAUAAUAACACAUUUCAUAGAACCCAUAACUUAUAAUCACCCCCCAAGCGUGUUCUAUGAACUUUAGAUGAUGUGCAUAUUUUUGCUCAUAAUUAAACUUUUCAGUUCAAAAAUAAGCAAGAUAAAUAUGCAGCUCUUAGCAAUAUAAUUAGAGACUCUGUAA